GUAAAGAUAUUUAUUAAGAUUAAGUUUUAUGUAAAAAUUAAUUAAAAUAAUAUAAAUUUUAUUAUUCUUAAGAAAAAAUUUUUUUUAUGAUAGUUUAUUAGUAUUGAAAAAGAAAAUUUAUAUAUGUAUAAAAGAAGAAAAAGUUUUGUACCUUGUGUAUCAGGGUUUAUUAAAUAAAAAUUUAAUUUUAUAUUUUCUCGAAUUUAAAAGAGCUAAAUUUUUAUUAAUUUUAUUGUGUCAAAAAUAUUUAUAAUAAAGAUUUAGUAAUGAAACGUUAGUCGUUUUUAAAUAUAUCUAGUUUUCUUAGAAAAAAAUUAAAUUUGCUUUGUUAUUUUAAUUAUAAAAAAUUUAUUUUAUACUUAAAUUAUGAAUUAAUAGAUUUAGGGAUAAGCUUAAAUUUAAAUUAUUAAAAUUAAAUUUUAAAUUAAAUAAAUUGUAGAAUUAAAAUUUUUUAUCUAUUAAAGUAUUUAAAAAUUUAUUAUUUUAAAUUAUUAUAUUUAUAUUUGGUUUAAAUUUUAUAUAAGAAUGUGAAAUUAGAUUGAAAAAUUUAAUUAAUGAUGAUAAAAUUAGUAUAAUUUUAAGUUAAAAUAAUAUAGAACUUUAUAUUAAAUUAAUUAAUUCGGCAAAUAUAUUUUUCACCUGUUUAUUAAAAACAUCUCUUUUUGAGUAUAAUUUAAAGUUGGGCCUGCCCACUGAAUUUUAAAGGGCCGCAGUAUUUUGACUGUGCAAAGGUAGCAUAAUCAUUAGUUUUUUAAUUGAAAGCUUGUAUGAAUGGUUUGAUGAGAAAAUUUCUGUCUCAGUUUAAAUUUAUAGAAUUUUAUUUUUAAGUUAAAAGGCUUAAAUAUUAUUUAAAGACGAGAAGACCCUAUAGAGUUUAACUAAAAAUAAUUUUUUUAAUUUUAGAAUUUAAUUUUAAAAAUAAUAUUUAAGUUUUGUUGGGGUGACAAAAAAAUUGAAAAAACUUUUUUUUUAUUGAAACAUUUAUUUAUGAAUUUUUGAUCCAUUAAUAUGAUUAAAAGAUUAAAUUACCUUAGGGAUAACAGCGUAAUCUUUUUUGAAAGUUCUAAUUGAAAAAGGGGGUUGCGACCUCGAUGUUGGAUUAAAAUUAAUUUUUGGUGUAGGAGCUAAAAAAUUAGGUCUGUUCGACCUUUGAAAUUUUACAUGAUCUGAGUUUAAACCGGUGUAAGCCAGGUUGGUUUCUAUCUUAAAUUAAAGAAAAUAUUUUAGUACGAAAGGAUCAAAUAUUUAAUUAAAAAUUUUAAUUAUGAAU
rnacentral:rRNA from 1 species